GGUGCUGCGGGAGAGAGAAGCCAGAGGGGGCCGCAGCUGCGGGCCGGCCGGCUGCGUGCGUGUGCGUGUGCGUUUGCUGGGUGCAGAGCCCCGAGCGCCAUGAACGAGGGCGGGCUCUGGACAAGAGCAAGCAAGGGCUGGAACCUGGGCGCGUGGCUCUGGGCCCCCGGCCUGUCCUCCCUGCACAGCUGAGGGCUUGGGAGGAGCGGGGCCGCCCCCUGUCGCCCGGGCGCCGUCACUGCUCUCACGGGGGCCCCGAGUGCAUUCCCAAGGCUGAGUGGCAGCCGGCUCGCGCUGCCUCCAGGAGGGUCUCAUCGCCCUAAGAACGCCCCAACCCGCUCGCAGCCGCUCCCCCAACUCCUCCUCCACCCCCCGCCCUGCCCUGCCUGGACAUCUCUGCCUGGCUCCGUUCCUUUUCUUUUUAAAUGUUCUUUAUUUUUAUUUCAAAGGAGACAGAGAGAGACAUCAGCAACAGCCAGGGCUGGGCCAGCGCUGAAGCCAGGAGCCAGAACCCGAUCCGCGUCCCCCCACCUCCUGGGGGGACCCAAGCAGAGACCGAGGGCAUCCCAGAUCCCUGCCCGGAACUCCCAGGGGCAAACAGCCUGCGCAGAGUUCCCUACUAAUGCGUCUACCUGGGAAAGGGCAGCAGCAGAUGGCCCGAGGACCUGGCUUACUACCACGCACCUGGGAGACCCUGAAGGAGUUCCUGACUCCGGCUUCCACCUGGCCCAAACCUGGCUGUUAUGGCCAGCUGGGCAGUGACCUGUGUGUGUCCCCCACUGCUGCCAGUGGUGGCCGCAUCCCCCGGGGCUCCGGCCACCCUCAGCGUCCCGAUGCCUCCACCACCUCCCUAUGCCCAAGCCACCGUCAUCUCCCACCCAGGGUGUGGCAACAGCCUCCCCCUUCCUGUCCGCCACAUAAACUAAGUCCCCCCAUUCUGCCCUGCACCCCCCAGCUUGCUCAGUCGGAGGCCGUCCUACCGCGUCCCACACGACGGAGCCACCUGGCGGCUCCUGUGACUGCACCAGGACCCCAGGCGCUCACCCCUAGCCCCCGUGUCCUGCAGGGCUGCUCCCCCUCCCCUGUCCGGAUGAUCUCCUGGUUUCCCCCUCCCCUCUGUCAGGUGUUCCUAGACCCCCUGUGCAAGGCAGGAUGUCUCUGUCCCCCACCGCCCCUGCCUCCACGGUCGCAGCCACACCCCUGCUGCCCGGUGCUACCCUCUGGCCCAUGGCAUACAGCAGAGGGGCCGGAGGGGCCCAGCCCCUCCGCCUCGCCCAGACGACGGAGCGUGCAGUACCUGGCUG